rnacentral:rRNA from 1 species
GCGUAUAUUUAAGUUGUUGCGGUUAAAAAGCUCGUAGUUGGAUUUCGGGCGUGGAGGUUCGGUCCGCCGUUUCGGUGUGCACUGUCUUUCUGCGUCUUUCUGUCGGGGACGCGCUUCUGGCCUUAAUUGGCUGGGACGUGGAUUCGACGAGGUUACUUUGAAAAAAUUAGAGUGUUCAAAGCAAGCUAAAGCUCUGAAUACAUUAGCAUGGAAUAACGCGAGAGGACUCGGUCCUUAUUUUGUUGGUCUUCAAGGAUGGAGUAAUGAUUAAGAGGGACAGUUGGGGGCAUUCGUAUUUCAUUGCUAGAGGUGAAAUUCUUGGAUUUAUGAAAGAC